UAAUUCUAACUGUACUGUUACAAGGUUUGAAACGUAAUGAAUGAAUUUUACAAAAUGGCCAUGUUCCACAUCGGCAGUUAGAGAAGGGAUUUCAGAUUGUAGGUAUAAACAAAGGUUUGUAUUAACAUAGGUAGGAGAGAUUAUAAUAGAAUUAUAAAAAUGUACUUACAGGUUGCUUGAGAAAAGAUAUUAGGGAAUAUUGAAUUUUAUGAGCAUAAGUGGAUUAGAAAGACUCUUCGUCGUAGGUAGUAGAAAAAUCAUUAUUUCGUUUUUUGUAGGACAAAGUCAACUACCGACAAUUCUAAAAAAACGAAGAGUUCGUUUCCACUUUUCCAACAUCUGUUCAAGUUUCGGAAAGUGAUAAUAUCAGUGAUGAUGUUCAGUCAAUGUGUAGCAAAUAUCUCUCUGCCGUAGCCUCACCCGUUCAAAAUGUGGAAACGACUGAUAAGAUUACCCAAAGGUCUUGUAUAGGCAUAUCUCUGCAGGGGCGACGUUUGACAGAUAUCGGAUAUUUAUUUAUUUCUGCAAUUAGCAGAAAUAUCUAAGCACCCACCAUUCGAUUGUACAUUGAG